rnacentral:rRNA from 1 species
UGGGGAAUAUUGCACAAUGGGCGCAAGCCUGAUGCAGCGACGCCGCGUGGAGGAUGACGGUCUUCGGAUUGUAAACUCCUGUUAAGUGGGAAGAAAGACCAGUAUCUAAUACAUGCUGGGGAUGACGGUACCACUAGAGAAAGCACCGGCAAACUUCGUGCCAGCAGCCGCGGUAAUACGAAGGGUGCUAGCGUUGUUCGGAAUGACUGGGCGUAAAGAGCGUGGAGGCGGUUUCUUAAGUCAUCUGUUAAAUCACUCGGCUUAACUGAGUACUUGCAGGCGAUACUGAGAGGCUAGAGUACAGGAGAGAAAGGUAGAAUUCUCGGAGUAGCGGUAAAAUGCGUAGAUCUCGAGAGGAAUACCGGUUGCGAAGGCGGCCUUUUGGCCUGUUACUGACGCUUGAGCGCGAAAGCGUGGGGAGCAAACAGG